UACAUGGGGUGCAAACGUUGCUCGGAAUUAUUGGGCGUAAAGCGCACGUAGGCGGUCAUCUAAGUCAGACGUGAAAUCCCCCGGCUUAACCUGGGAACUGCGUCUGAUACUGGAGGGCUUGAGUGCGGGAGAGGGAUGUGGAAUUCCAGGUGUAGCGGUGAAAUGCGUAGAUAUCUGGGGGAACACCGGUGGCGAAGGCGGCAUCCUGGACCGACACUGACGCUGAGGCGCGAAAGCUAGGGUAGCAAACGGG
rnacentral:rRNA from 1 species